rnacentral:rRNA from 1 species
UACAUGGGGUGCAAACGUUGCUCGGAAUUAUUGGGCGUAAAGCGCGCGUAGGCGGUUACUCAAGUCGGAUGUGAAAGCCCUCGGCUUAACUGAGGAAGUGCGCCCGAAACUGCAGAGCUUGAGUACCGGAGAGGAUGGCGGAAUUCCCCAAGUAGAGGUGAAAUGCGCAGAUAUCUGGAGGAACACCUGUGGCGAAGGCGGCUAUCUGGUCCAAUUCUGACGCUGAGGCGCGAAAGGUAGGGGAGCAAACAGG